rnacentral:lncRNA from 1 species
AUUAUCCUCUAGCAUCUGACUCAUACAGAUGCAGAGACCCAAAGCCAAACAUUGUAUGGAACUUGUGGACUCUUAUGGAGGAAUUGGGAGAAGAAUUGAAGGAAUAUUUCUCUUGAUUGCCAGCCACAGGGUUGCAGGCUUUUUGACUGUGGCUGUAUGUUUUGUUUGAGUCAAAUGCUGGGUGGAGCCUCUCAGAGGACAACAUACUCCGAAAAUGACUUUUAAGCGAUGAGGACCAUAACUUAAAAUGGGGACACUGGAAAGCAGGACGACCUUCAGCUGUGUUAAGACCUUCACUCCGGCAAGACUACCUAUACAUCAUCGCAUUAGAGAAGAAAAAGGCUUGACCUACUUGGAUCCGAUAAGAUGGAGUCUGUUUUCGGCAGAAAUUGAUCACAACGGACUCCUUGGUAGCCUUCCUUGCACCUGAGAAGAGGGAUAAAUGACAAGCAUGUGCAUGUGGUUGUGAAAGAUUCAAGGUUUUCAGCAAGCAGAUCAAGCACUAACAGUGACGCGAGAAUAGUCGUCUAACGAAGACCUUUGUAUCUGAUUCAGCCUGGUUCUAAUAUCAGUGGGCAGAUUCUCGAUUUUAAUGUUGUCCUAAACAAACAAACAAAUGAAAAAUUUUUAAAAAAAACCACCCAGAAAAACACAGCUUUGCAAUUAUACCUGCAAAUGCAAUACCCAAAGAACAAAUUCCCCAACAUCUCAAAUGCCUCUCUCAGCAGAGUAGAUCGUGGUUAUCAUAUUACAAGGCUGACAGCAGGAGCAUUCUUCUUUAUAUAAUAAUGUGGUCUCCAAAUAC